UACGUAGGCAGCAAGCGUUGUUCGGAAUUACUGGGCGUAAAGAGUGUGUAGGCGGUGCUCUAAGUUCGGUGUGAAAUCUCCCGGCUUAACUGGGAGGGUGCGCCGGAAACUGGAGUGCUCGAGCGUGGGAGAGGAAAGCGGAAUUCCUGGUGUAGCGGUGAAAUGCGUAGAUAUCAGGAGGAACACCAGCGGUGUAGACGGCUUUCUGGACCAUUGCUGACGCUGAGACACGAAAGCGUGGGUAGCAAACAGG
rnacentral:rRNA from 1 species